UGCUUCGUUAAAAAGAAAUCCUUUCUGAUUACUCCCAGUUUUCAUCUUCAUCCUCUCAAACGACCGCUGGUUACAACGCCCACCAUCACACCCUCACUUGGAUCUUGCAAGUUGCACCUCAGCCGCUACUCCCAAAUCCCAAUGAUCAAUAACCCCGUGGAUCGUAAACAAAAGGGCUCAAGUUCUUCCUUCGUAUAGGAAUUAGAAAAAUCUUAUCGUCAUUUCUCCUUGUUAGCUUUAUAAAGAAAAGGGGAAAUUUUUUUUCCCCCAACCGCCUGGAGCAAACAUUCGGUUUUCGUUUUCUUUUAAUCCAUUUCUCCAUUACUAAUUCCGUUUCUCAGAAUUGAACGUCGCUGAUUUUAGUGAGGAAAUUUCGACAAUAGUUUGGGCUGAGUAAUUUUCUUGUUUGUUUGCCGGGAAAACUCAAGAAAAUGCUCUUCUGACUGAUCGUUGUUUCAGCGAAAGGUAUGUAAUUUAUUGCCUCUUUUAUAGGUAGCUUAGUUCAGUAUUCAAUCUCCAAUGCUUAUCCUAUUAUUGGAACUUUGCAUUGCAUUUAUGUGAUGCUUCUUUUCAAACUGAAUGCCAUUUUCUCUUCUUCAUUUUUUGGUAGUUAUUAGCCAUGCAGCGUUGGUUCUUCUGCUAUUUCUUGUUGAUUUUACAGUAUCUAUAU